GCUGAUGUGGCUCAGAGGUAGAGCACUUCCUUGGUAAGGAAGGAGUCACGGGUUCAAUUCCCGUCAUCAGCU
rnacentral:tRNA from 1 species